CUGAAAGUGACUGUAACUGGGAGGAACCAUGAAGACAUCCACAGGAGCUUUAAUCAUAUUCUCGUGGCUGCAGCUGAACUGGUUCAGCCAAGGAGAGAAGGUGGAGCAGCAUCCUUCUACCCUGAGUGUGCAGCAGGGAAGCAGCUCUGUUAUCAACUGCAGUUAUUCAGACAGUGCCUCAGAGUACUUCCCUUGGUAUAAGCAAGAGUUUGGAAAAGGUCCCCAGCUCCUUCUAUACAUUCGUUCAACCAUGGCCACAAAAGAACACCAAAGAUUCACUGUUUUAUUGAAUAGGACAGCCAAACAUCUCUCCCUGCACAUCGCAGACACCCAGCCCGAAGACUCAGCUGUGUACUUCUGCGCAGCAAGCACACAUUGCUUCCCAGGCACCUGCUACCUGCACUCAAACCUGGGUGUGGGGCAGCCCCUGUCCUUUGACACAGACCUUCAAGUAUAGUUUUUGUCCUUUUGUUUGUCUGCACGUGGAAACUAAUGUUUUAUCACUUUUUGAAAUUUAAACUCAAUUAGCCAACAAAUAGUACAUCAUUUGUUUCAGUUGUAGUGUUCAUUGAUUCAUCCAUUGCAUGUAACACCCAGUUCUCAUCACAUCACAUGCCCUCCUUAAUGCCUAUCACCCAGUUACCCCGGAAGCUAAUGUUUUAGACAUUAAAAGCGAAUUAUAUAACUAUUAGGAUGGAGGUGACCCAAAAAGGGUUAGAAUACUUUGUUGGAUGACUGUUGUUUAAUGGAUUCUUGAAUGGAGUUAGUAAUGUUUUAUUUUGAAAGUCAGGUAUUUUGGAACUCUACAUUUGCUAUUGAGACUCCUCUCCUAUAAAUAACCCCUAGUACCAGUUUUACAGUCGUUAUUAUCGAUGGGCACUUAAAUAUUGUGUU